rnacentral:rRNA from 1 species
UACGUAGGGUCCGAGCGUUGUCCGGAAUUAUUGGGCGUAAAGGGCUCGUAGGCGGUCCGUCACGUCGGGAGUGAAAACUCAGGGCUCAACCCUGAGCGUGCUUCCGAUACGGGCGGACUAGAGGUAUGCAGGGGAGAACGGAAUUCCUGGUGUAGCGGUGGAAUGCGCAGAUAUCAGGAGGAACACCGGUGGCGAAGGCGGUUCUCUGGGCAUUAACUGACGCUGAGGAGCGAAAGCAUGGGGAGCGAACGGG